ACCGGGCACCGUGGUGCAUGCCUGUAGUCCCAGCUACUCGGGAGGCUGAGGUGGGAGGAUCACUUGAGCCCAGGCGUUCUGGGCUAUAGUGCGCUAUGCUGACUGGGUGUCUGCACUAAGUUCGGCAUCGAUAUGGCGACCUCCUGGGGUCGGGAGACCACCAGGUUGCCUAAGGAGGGAUGAACCAGCCUAGGUUGGAAACAGAGCAAGUCAAAACUCCUGUAUUGAUCAGUAGUGAGAUCACACCUGUGGAGAGCCCCUGCAUUCCAGCCUGGGCAAUAUAGUGAGACCCCAUCUCUA
ensembl:misc_RNA Metazoa_SRP Metazoan signal recognition particle RNA